AGUGAACGCUGGCGGUAGGCCUAGCACAUGCAAGUCGAACGGCAGCACAGUAAAAGCUUGCUCUUACGGGUGGCGAGUGGCGGACGGGUGAGGAAUACAUCGGAAUCUACUUUUUCGUGGGGGAUAACGUAGGGAAACUUACGCUAAUACCGCAUACGACCUACGGGUGAAAGCAGGGGAUCUUCGGACCUUGCGCGAUUGAAUGAGCCGAUGUCGGAUUAGCUAGUUGGCGGGGUAAAGGCCCACCAAGGCGACGAUCCGUAGCUGGUCUGAGAGGAUGAUCAGCCACACUGGAACUGAGACACGGUCCAGACUCCUACGGGAGGCAGCAGUGGGGAAUAUUGGACAAUGGGCGCAAGCCUGAUCCAGCCAUACCGCGUGGGUGAAGAAGGCCUUCGGGUUGUAAAGCCCUUUUGUUGGGAAAGAAAAGCAGCAGGUUAAUACCCCGCUGUUCUGACGGUACCCAAAGAAUAAGCACCGGCUAACUUCGUG
rnacentral:rRNA from 1 species